AGGUGAACUAUCUACUCAGUUUUGUGGUGAAGCUACAUGAUGAAAUGGGUUAAAAGGUUUCAAGGGGUCAAAAAAAGACAUCAAGAGAGGAAUAGUGUGUGAACAGCUGUUCCAGAAAAAUAGCCAUGAGCAAGCUGAGAACGCAUGGAUUCAUCAGAAUGUAACAGUCUCUCCUUACUGCUGGUAGCAUCUGAAUCUGAAGGAAGAAGAGAUUAUUUCCACCUUUUGAAGGGCAAGACUUGAAAGUGCUUUCAUAUGCCUCUCCUUCAUCAAAGACAUACUUCUGUGCUCUCUAAUACUUUCUUCUGAAAUCUCUCCACACGAAUGCAUGAAGAUUUCAUGUUUAAAAAGGAAACUGCACUAGGGGUAAAUGCUGUUGACCAUCAUGAGCUGGAAUUAAAAAAG